rnacentral:rRNA from 1 species
GAUGAACGCUAGCGGCAGGCUUAACACAUGCAAGUCGUGGGGCAGCGCGUUGUAGCAAUACAGUGGCGGCGACCGGCGGAAGGGUGCGUAACACGUGAGCAACUUGCCCGUAACAGGGGGAUAAGCGCUGGAAACGGCGUCUAAUAUCCCAUAACAUAUUUCACCGCAUGAUGGAAUAUUGAAAACUCCGGUGGUUACGGAUGGGCUCGCGGGACAUUAGCUAGUCGGCGGGGUAACGGCCCACCGAGGCGACGAUGUCUAGGGGUUCUGAGAGGAAGAUCCCCCACACUGGGACUGAGACACGGCCCAGACUCC